GUUUAUGUCCAGCAGUUAUCUUUUUUAUUUGAGGUUAUGAUGGACGUGUUACAAUUUGCAGUUCUGCUGAUGAUUGUUUCAACUGUUAGUGGCCAGUCUUUGACCUCCUCAGACUCUGUGGUGAAAAGACCAGGAGAAUCAGUCACUCUGUCCUGUACUGUGUCUGGAUUCUCAAUGAGCUACCACAUGCACUGGAUCCGCCAGAAACCAGGCAAAGGACUGGAGUGGAUCGGGCGGAUUGAUGGUGGCACUGGCACUAUUUUUGCUCAGUCUUUACAAGGCCAGUUUACCAUCACCAAGGACACGAGUAAAAACAUGCUGUAUUUAGAAGUGAAAAGCCUGAAGAGUGAAGACACAGCUGUGUAUUACUGUGCACGAGGCUCACAGUUGCACAAAACACUGCAGGACUGA